UACGUAGGUCCCGAGCGUUGUCCGGAUUUAUUGGGCGUAAAGCGAGCGCAGGUGGUUUAUUAAGUCUGGUGUAAAAGGCAGUGGCUCAACCAUUGUAUGCAUUGGAAACUGGUAGACUUGAGUGCAGGAGAGGAGAGUGGAAUUCCAUGUGUAGCGGUGAAAUGCGUAGAUAUUAGGAGGAACACCAGUGGCGAAGGCGGCUUACUGGACUGUAACUGACGUUGAGGCUCGAAGGCGUGGGGAGCAAACAGG
rnacentral:rRNA from 1 species